UAUAUGUGUACCGUGCAUACAUGUCGCACACGGCAAUCGGCUGCCGAUUCGCGGACUGACGGCACAAUGAAUCGUUAAAAAGAAUAUCGCGAGUGAAUUGUGCAAAGUGCAAAACGAGUGGUCGUAGAAUCGACCUCGUGGGGAACGAGCGAGCGAACGAGCAGGGCAGCGAGCAAAGGGAGAGUGGAUAAGCUGGCCACUGCGGGAGAUCAUCGUCAACGACGUUACGCUACCCAACGCGAGCCAAACAAAAUGGCCGCCCCCCGCUUGUCUUCGGUGGUACUGUUGUUUAUCCAUUAGGGAAAACGUUUCAACGGCGAAACGGAGCACGCUUAUCGAUUUCCCGCCGCCGCGAGUUCCGUGUCGUCGAUCGCCGUAUCGCAUUUUCGUCGAUUACGAUACGCGAAUCGUUGACACUUCUGGUUUUUUUUUGUGCGCAGACAACAUUAUUAGCGUGGUAGUAAGCAUUAUCGUUAUUAUCGUCGAGAAACGGUAGUGUGGUCUGUUUGCAAAGGCACGAGAUACUUCGUCAACGUAGACGCGCGCUAUCUUUUGGGAGCACGUGUGUCAGGACAUGCAGACGCAUCCGGUCGACAGUAUUUCCAAUUCUACGAUACCUCCGGCACACUCUCGAGUAUAAUUUCGCGCCUAGGCACGAAAGAUGUCUAGUUCUUUCAUCGUGGAACCGCAAGAUAGCGGUUCUGAAAAAAAAGACGACACAUUGAUUAUUGUUGUUAACGAUGACGGAACAAUAUCUGUUGAUCAGGCAACUUUACACAACAUGAUAAUAAAUCAGUCAAGUGCUAAUGUUAACGUGGUAAGAUUAGGACAAACUGAAGCAGAUGCUGAAAAUGGUGACAUAACGUUGACAGUAGAUCCACCGCCGUUUUUGCACUCCGCAGCGAGCUCGGUAAGCGCUAAUGCCAGUACCGACUCAGGUGGGUUGGUAGAUCCAUUUAUGGAAAUGGAUCCAGAACAGCUGAAAACAAUAGAGACAGCUCUCCAAAGUGAAGAGGCAAAACAGAUGCUUGGGGAGAAUGUCACUGCGAUGCUUGAUAUGUUAACAGUGGAAGAGGAGCAAAAUAAGAUACGAUACAGUAUACAGUUGGAUCAUUGUUAUACAAGUAGAUUGUCACCCAGUGAUCCAAUACCAAGAGACCCCUUGCCAGUCGCUGAUGAUUCACCUGAUUCUGAUGUACAAUACAUACGUCAAGCGUCAUCUCGAACUGUUGUGUCAUCUAUUACUGACACAAACAAGGGCAAAACUAUUGUGAAGAGUGCACCUGUAUUGCAGACCAAACAGAUGAAUAGACCGGUACGCAAAGCUGCUAUGUCUACACAUACAAACAUAACCGCAUCCCCUAGAACUAGUACAAAUAUUGUUGGGACUCCUAAAUUAUCAGGGCAUCAUCCUAUGCCAAGAAAUAUAACAAAUGUUCAGCAAGGAAUUGCUAAAGCACAAGGCAAGAGUAAUGAGGAAGAAGAUGAUGAUGAAACAGAAUCAUCUUCAGAAUCUUCAGAAUCAGAACCAUCAUCUGACAAUGACAAUGAUUCGGACUUUGGCCCUCGUGGCACUAAGAGAAGUAAUGUCAGGGCACGAGGAGGACGAAAAGGUCUUACUACAAGAGGUGGUAGCAUGGCGGCCGUUCGAAGAAGAGGUCAAAAUAAGCAGUUGGAUAUGGAACAGGUGCGACGAUUAGAUAUGGAAAUGGCCGCUGCCGUUAAUGCGAUGAAAACUCCUGAGAAAGACGAUAAAUCGGAGAAAUUCAAUUCUAAAAGUAAGAGACAAAUUAAAACUCUUGGUGGAAAGAAGAAGGAGGAGCCGCAAUUCACGGAAACGUCUCCGUCUGUGUCCGAAAAUGCGUCAGCGGUUAAUGAGAAGCCGCUGCAAACGACAAAUCAAGUGAAGGCGAAUCUAAUUAACGCUAAUAUGAUUAAGGGCGACAUGAUAAUAACCAAACCUGGUCAAGGAAGAAGCAAUCCGAAGGUUACUUUUGUUCAGAAACAAGUUACGAUGAAACCGAAUGAACUCAAGAACAUCGGACUUAAAAAGCCUGUGGUGGUUCCUAAAGGAAAACUUGUAAAUCAAGCCGAUACAAAGUAUUUUACGACCAAAGAUGGAAAAUUGGUGCAAUUACCAGUUGCAUCCAAAACAGUGUCUCCGAUAACAACUCAGCUUUCUCCAGUAAAAACAUUGGUACAGCAACCGGUAUUACAAAAAAGUCCACCGAGUGCGAAUCAAGGAAUACCGGUGCAGCAUCAACAACCAAAAAUUACUUUAUCCAAGUUGCUUGAUUCCAAUGUACAAUUAAAAUUUAAAAUACGAGAAAAAAGAAAAUCUGAUUCUAGCAUAGAAUCCGUCUUCAAAGGAGAAGAAAACCUUGCGAAAGCUGCAGAGAAUAAAAUGUUAGAUAGUGUGAAGAAACUUAAAAAAGACAAUCGGAAAGCUCCUGGAUACGUAGCGGAAGGUCCUGCACUUUUCUCAACGCCAGAUAUAAUUCGACGCGUUGGUUCGAACAGUGAUGGGAAAGGAGACAAUGGAGCACCUACGACUCCCACGACACCUCCUACGACAGCGAUACCUACAUCCGCGUCACCGCCUCUUCCUAUAUCGGCAGCUAUUUCACUGAAUAUCGGCGUCUCUGUUGGUUCAGAUGUAACCCAGAGCACAGUUUCUAAUAAAAUGAUAGUAUCCAAUAUAGAACAAUCUGUUCAACCGGAGACACAAACCUCGUUAAACCUCGAUGGGGAUACUAAUGCUAUACGAGGAGACGAGAGUGAUCAGAAAACAGAAAUCAAGCCACCUCUGGCUGAGGAAUUGCAACCGUCUCUCGAUUCAGUGUCAAAUACUGCUUCAUCAGAGGGAAUUAUUCAACCUGUGGCACUACCUCAUGUUCCAAAUCAUGUUUCUAAGAAUAGUGGAAUAGAGGGAGAGGAACAUUUAUUGGCUACUUUAGAAAUGGAAGCCAGUAAACACGAAGAAGAAUUACUUGCUGAAGCGUUGUUAUUACAGGAGGAACUUGGAGUGGACUUAGCUGAACAUUCGGCACUGGUUGAUUCCACGCCGCCGGUUACGGAAUCUUUAGCUUCGAAUAGCAUGCUCGUACCUACAUUAAUACCACCCGAACAAGAGUUGUCUAAACCAGAGGAAACAGUACUUACAAGCGAUUCGCUACAAAAUCAGACAACAAAUUUGAAAGAAACGAGCAAGAAACUUUCAAAGGAUGACAAAGAGCCGAUUCAAAUUAUUCGCGGCAAUCGUGUGAUUACGUUACCGCCCAUCGAAGCACCUGCCACGAGAAGCAAACGACUGCAAGCUAAAACUGAAACGCCGAAGCCGAAAAAUCCUGAACCAAUCAAGAAACCGGAGAAAUUGACUCCACAAAUUCAGCAAUUGUUACCCAAUAAGGAAGAGCUAAGAACGGGUGUAAGUGAAGAGGACGAAGAAGACGAUGAUGACGAUGACGAGGAAAAUUCAGAUUCGGAAGACGAUCCAGAUCGAUUAUGGUGUAUUUGCAAACGGCCACACAACAAUCGAUUUAUGAUAUGCUGUGACGUUUGCGAAGACUGGUUUCACGGGAAAUGUGUACACGUCAGCAAAGCCAUGGGUCAACAAAUGGAGGAAAAGGGUAUAGAAUGGGUUUGUCCAAAUUGCCUACGAAAGAAAGCCGAAGAUGAAAAAACAAAACUGAAUUCGCAAUUAUUAUCUGUGAAACAAAGAACAAAGGUUGAACCGGUGACCGAGACUUCAACGUCGCAGGCUGCGUUAUCAAAAGAAUCGUCGAGUUCUCUCACGGACUAUGGCACUCCUCCUCAGCACUCCUCAGUUUCUGGCACGAUGCAGUGUGUUGUUUGUAAGAAAGAAGCCAGAAAUUCCAGCAUUUAUUGCUCGGACGCAUGUAUUCUCGCACAUGCUCAGGAAACUUUGACAAAGGACAAGCCGGUACCGACGGGAUCAAAUGUAAAACCUGGAAAGUCGCCUAUUACAGAAACCAUCAGAUUAAAACCCGAGGCCAGAGUGAUAGUUUUUGACAGAAAGAGCGGCAAAGUUCUUACCGGCGCGGAUGCUCCGACGAGAACCAAUUUGCGAACGUGGUUGAAGGAAAAUCCGUCUUUCGAAGUGGUAGGAGCCAAUAAUAUCAAUACGCUUCAGAUAGGUGGAAAGCUUGUCACGCAAAUCCAAACAUCUACAAAAACUACAAAAAUUACGCAGUUAUCGCCAGUAAAAGUGCAAACUAUUCCAAAGAUGAUCUAUACAAAGGUUGCUGGAUCGAAACAAACUAUCUUAGCGCCUAAUAAAAAAAUCACGAUAAUUCCUGCUACACAACAGGUGAACGUGUCGCCGAGCAAUAAACCGAUACAGCUGAAGCAGACGACAAUCACGACGACACCGGGAAAAUUUUCUAUGUUACUGAAGCCGACGACUCCGAAGAGUGUCACUCCGACACAAUUGAAAGUCCAAGCGGCAAAUUCGCCGAAGCAGCAGACACUGGUUAAGAAGCAAGAGACGAAGCCAUCGCCGUCCCAAUUGAAGCAAACUAAACUGACACUGGCGAAAAAACCGGAAGCGGAACCCUCCACACGAGUGAUUACGCGAAAAACUCUGACAGAGUCACUGUCUACUCGUAUAAAGGAAACCGAAGAUCUGAAAUUAACCGACGAAGAGAUCGCGGACUUGGCGUUCAACAUAGAGCUCGAAAUGUUCAAGUAUUUCAAGGACACGGGUUCCAAAUACAAAGCGAAAUAUAGGAGCCUCGUGUUUAAUAUAAAGGAUACCAAAAAUUUGACAUUGUUCCGAAAGAUCGCAGAUCGCAGUUUAGCACCGGAUGCUGUGGUACGAUUGAGCCCGGAAGAAAUGGCCAGUCAAGAGCUGGCCGAGUGGCGAGAAAAGGAAACCAAGCAUCAGCUGGAAAUGAUAAAGAAGAAUGAACUGGAUCUGAUGGCCCAGGCGAAGUCGAUCGUCGUGAAAACUCACAAAGGCGAGCAAAUAAUCGAGAAUGACGGUGGAAUCGAUCAUGUCGAUCCCAAGACGCCGGUGCAAGAUAUCGUCACAGCGUUAAAUAGCGGCGACAGCAUAAGUUCCACUGUCGACGACAUGAAGAAAGACAAGGAUAAAGAGGAGAGACUGAAAUCCCGAACGGACGCGAAGAAAUCGAAGAACGCGGACGAACGAAGGAAAAAGGAGAGAGAUAGGGAUCGCGAUGGCAUGAAGUCUAAGAAUAAGGAUCGACGGGAGAGAAGCCGUAGUCGACAUCGCCAUAGCCGAGACCGCAGCAAGACGCGAGAUAAGAGCAAAGAGCGGAAGUCGAACAGAAAUAAAGAGAGCAAACGUGACAAGGAUCACGAGAAGGAUAAGGAUCGAGAGCGGAAUAAAGAUCGGGACAAGACGAGGAAGGAGAGCAGGGACAGAGGUCGGCAGAAAGAAAAGGACAGGCAUAAGAAUAGCGAUGAUCGUGCGAGAAAUUACAGCGGAGAAUCCAAAGACAUCGAUAAGAGAGAGGAGGAGCGUAAAAAGGAGACGGACAAGAAGAAAGAAACGUCGCCGCUUCCUGCGGAAAAGCCGAUAGAAGAUCGCCUCUGGCGACACGUGGAAGACGAGGCGACGACGAAUACAAUUGACGGAAACGAUUCUGACAUAUCUGACAGGGAACCCAGUUCUACUGUUACCAUCAAGACACCUGACAUAAACGAGGAACCCGAGAGAGAAAAGGAGCAGGAAGUGGACAGCAAGGAGGCGCCGACGAAGAAUAGCUGGCAGACCGUUUGGCGCGGCUUCGUCAAUAUGGUGGAUGUCGCGAAGUUCUUUAUAACCGCGCAGGAAGUCAGCGGCAAUGUGAAAGAUCUCAUGGAUGAUCUGCCGGACACUGUGGAUGUUGUUGGUAGAAUUAGUCACGAAACUGUUUGGGAUUAUAUCUCGAAGAUGAAGAGAACUGGUUCGAAGGAGAUCUUGGUCAUCAGAUUGACAGCUGCAAACGAUGAAGAAAAGAUUCCUUACAUAACCCUGUACAGUUAUCUGAAUAGCAGAAGCCGUCUAGGAGUUGUGGGCAAUGUCUCUAAGAAUAUCAAGGAUUUCUACAUAAUGCCGUUUUCCAGUCAGAGUACGAUUCCACCCGUUCUCCUGCCACUUACCGGGCCCGGUUUCGAGGAGCAUCGACCGCAUUUACUUUUAGGCAUCAUAGUACGCAACAAGAAGAAACGACUGUCGGCUAUACCAUCGGCGAUAUCCGCGAAGACAUCGAAGAAAGAAUCUGACCGGAGUUACACCCCGCCGUUGGUCAGCGUGCCGAAGGAGAAAACCUCGUCGCCGCCGCCCUCGUCGCCUAUGCUAUACCUUAACAAAGCGGCCGCAUUGGAUUCGAAGGAGAAAUCGGCGGUGACGCAGAUGACUCUAGAGUCUUUGAACAAGGCGCACAUAGGCAUGUCGCGCGGUGUCAUCGACACUGCGACGAUAUGCAAGAUUGUGCCCGAGUUGUCGUCGAAGAUCGAUCUGACUUCGUCGCCGGGUAAGGUAGCGUUGGACGAUGAUGGUGAUGAGCCGUAUAGCCCUGGUGAGAUGGACGACGACAUGGACGAUUUACAAGCUGCCACCGACAGCGCGAGUAUUGUCGCCUUAUCUUCUAGUAAAAAUUCCACAGAGUUGCAGCGAAAGAUGGAGGAACUGAACAGACAGAUCGAAGAACAGAAGCAACAAAUUGAGGAGCAGAAACAACAGAUACAGAGCAUAAGCUCGUCGUUUCUUGACGAAGCGACACCCACUCUGCCGGGUUUAGGACUAGAUCCACCAACUAAUGACGGCGAUGAAGCUUACAGCCCGUCGGAUGCUCGGUCUUUCACGCCACCUCCGCCCGGCAUCACCAAACUCGCGCAGCCCAUCCUCGACAAGGUUUCGGACAUCACCAUACCGCCGAAUCUGCAGGAAAUUCUCGCCAAUGUCAAGCGGCAGGAGUCCUCCAAAGUGGAUCCUUAUCUGCCAUCUAAGCCCAGCGCUUCAUUUUUGCCCACGGCGGGCGCAUCGAUUUACCAAAGCACGGAGAGAUAUUCGCCGUCUUCUUCCAGGAUUAGUCAGCCGGAGAAAACGUCAUUGGAGAUUUCGAAGGAGAGCAAGAGCACAUUGAGUACUUUGAGCGAUCUGGAUCUGAUCCGGAAGGCGGAAGAAGAAUUGGCCGCUGUCGCUGCUGCAACGGCGGUGGCAUCGGCGGUACCCAGUACAUCCACCAUGGUACCGCCACCCUCGUCAUUACUCUCAUCUCCUGGCGCGAGUCUGGUUUUGACGCCACCGCCUGUGGACACGCCCAUUCCGUCAUCAUCGCAGGUUCUCUCGUCGCUCACGCUCUCCUCGGAGCUGGAAUCUAGUAAGCCGUACAAGCUGAGCCCUCCGGACCCCUUCAAGAAGAGCUUCGCCUCGGAACAGCCGAAGCCGCCCGGUCUCGAGGACGAGGAUUUUCCUGCGUUCCCGUCGACCCCGCCGGCGAUAGACGCGGCUGCGUCGCGCACGAAAAUCUCGUCCAAGAGCGGCAUCGUGCUGAAUGUCAAGCGGAAAUUGAAUGACGAUUGUACGUCGCCCACUAAAUUACCAAGGACUAAAUCGCGCUGGAGUCAAGGGCCCUCCGAAUAAUUCCAAUCGAAUCGCUACGAAUUACGGUGAUCUCCGGGUCUACAGACUUUCCGUGUAUGCUAUUUUACGAUUAUCGUUGACGUUUGUCGUGCACAGAGUAAAAUUUUGUUUUGUCUGUGCCCAAAUGGCGUUUGAGAGAAAGCGAUAGACUACGGAGUUUCAUUGUAAUAUGUAACAUAAAUGUACAAGAAGUUGGUGGUGAAGAAACUGCAGUAGGAUUUUGUGUACGAUGAGUGAAAUAGAAAAAGAAAUGAAAAUGGAGGGGAACUGGAGAGAUGUCGCUAGUCCCUCUCGACAGCUGUUGCUGUGAGUGUGAAGGAAUUUGCAUGUUCAAUAACAGCAAAUCACGUGUACGUAAAUAUUUGCUUCGAAAUGUGAAAAAAAACGCUAUAUUUCUGGCAACACGUAUGUAUAAGUAAAGCUUUGUUACAAAGUUUGUAGAAAGGUUGAAGCAGUAUACUGCACGGCGUGCGGUUUGUACAAAAGCUUUAUCGGUCGAAGAACGCUUUCUAAUCCUUUUUCUGGAAUCCUUUAUCUCUGUGACCUCCUUGUUUACCGCCGAGACGACUUUUUACUGUACUUCGGCCGUAAUUUAAAGAGAGCGAGCCUCAUGGAGGGUAGUUAGUUGUUUCCCAUCUUUCAGGGAAUCUUCCGUGGCAUAUUUGCCGACGACAUUCUUCAUACGCCAAUGAGGAAUGAAAGUUUUGAAAAGUAUCUAGGUAAGUGGAGUGUCCAUUUCCCUCACUCUAAACUAGUAACAAACAUGAAGACAAAUAUGUUAAUGAUACCAGACGAUGAAGCAGAUAAAAAAUGCUAUCGAUAUAUCAGUAUAGAAAAUACAUAAAAGUGAGAUCGCUCCCUGGACGUGCGAGCGUAGAUGUAAACACGACGUUUCCGCACAGUGCGUGACGUGUGUUGGAUUCACUAUCGAACAUUAUAACUAUGCACGUAUUGUCCCUGUAAAUACCAAAGCGAGAGGGUAAAUGAUAACCGCGUCGCGCCCAUAUAUAAUACGUUUUGCACACGAUAGAUAUGUAUAUAUACACAUAAGUGAGUCGAAAACUUUCUGUAAUAUAUUUUAUUAAAGACUUCAACCUGUUUGUCACAGAAUAGAAGCCGAAACUUUUGUAAGGUCGGAUAUAAGGAUGUGAACAUGUCCACUUUGAAAUCAGGGUGCAGCUUAAAUGUAUCAUAUCUCAGGAGGAAGAAUUGAAGCUAGUUUUUUCAGAAAUCGCAAUUGAGAAAAGUGCAAGUUGCGAGUUCUUUUCUUCCAUUGAAGCCUCCUGUAUUUUAAGCAAGCAGCAAUGUAAAUAAGUUUCGCAGUCACUUGUAUCCGACGGAAUUUAAAUACCGGUCACACAACUACAAUACAUGCAUAUAAUUAGGCUGUAAACUUGCAGCAAUUCGUACAUGCGGCGCGAUUAAUGUUGAAUGCAUGUGUGCAUUUCAGAUGCAUCUCGUAUACAUAAUACAUAAAAUGUUAGCAGUAAGAUUAUUAUCUUCUUCCAUAAAUCUUGUGAAAAACUAGCUGCUAUAAACAACAUUACUGGAUGCGUUUAAUUUUGUACAUGUGGUUACCUGCGAGCGUGUCACGCAAUCGCAACAAUCGAAUUUACACAGAAAAUAUACGGUGUAACAUAUCGCAAUCUUAUUAAUGCGACUUGUAACUCCAUUUUUAGUAACUUUUAAGGAUUUAGUGUUUAUCAAUGAUAGAAAUAUUUAUGUUAAUAUUAUGUUAAAAUUUUUACAAUAUUGCAAAUUUGAAAAUUGUUUUCUUUCAAAUCUUGAUGAAUUUCUGAGAAAGAAUUUUAGCAAAUAUUGUAAGAUAUUUUCAUUAACGUAGCGCUAUUGUAAAACAAUUUUGUCUCUUUGUUUUCCCAUUUCCUCAUUUGCGUUUUGAAGAAAAAAAUGUACCACACAUCUGACACACCUCUUUUACAUCCUAUAUACGUUUCUCACAGUUUCUUAUUAAGCAGUAGAACAUGAAAUUGACAUAAUCUUGGAAAGUAACUGAUGUAUCACGCAAAUUUUACUAUGAUAUAAUUUGAAUCGCUCAAAUUGCAGGACUUUGCAAAAUAGCUAUAAACUUGCUUACUUGAAGAUUACAAACGCUUUAUGUAGAUUAUUUAGGAAUGAGCGAUUUCAAUUUUUAUUUGUAGAACAUCAGGCUAUGAAUAUUAUUGGGUUAACAGUUAACGAUUUAACUUUAACCGCGACUAACAGGCUAUAAUACACGUACAUUUUAUUUACACACAAAAUACUAUACAUUUGUUGAACACAGUCUAUGUUUAAGAAUACAAUUUUUUGUAAGGAUUAGCCAUUUUAUUUUAUUAUUCACUUUUGUACCACGAUCUUCGGCUGAUAUAGCGCAGCAAUUCUUCAUUAUUAUGUAUCGUCAUUAUUAAUCUUAAUCAUAAAGAAAACUAUAUGCUA